GAGAUUUUAAGCAACACACAUAAACUGCAGGAGGAAUUCAGCAGGUCUGCUUUUGGAAAUGUAUGCUGCAAACAUCCUUAAUGUGAUAAGAGAAUGUGAUGCAAAGGCAAUGGAGUGUGCACUUCCAUCACUCAUAACACCUACUGUAGACCAUAAGGCCUAGUGUCACGGGUAAGCUUCACUGGACGAUGCAGAUCAUAAUUUGUGAGUACAGUGUCUGACAUCACAUUUCUUUUACCUUUUGAAAGCCAUCUCAUACUGUUUUGUCCAUUGCCAUUUCUUCCCUAUCUGUAAUAAUGAGUUCAAAGGGUUGAGGACAGUACCUGUGUUUGGUAGGAACCUGUUACAGUAACCAACAAAUCCGGAACGGACCACAACUGUGACAAGUCCUUUGCCUUUGGGGUAUCCAUCACUAUUUGAGUUUUCUCAGCACACUUAUGUAAACCUUGUAUGUUAAUGGUACGAUCACAGUAAAUGAUACUUGGUUUAAAGAAUUCACACUUGUUGCAUCAUACUCCGAGCCAUAAUCUUCUAAUCUUUUUAACACUGUUUUGAGAUUUUGGAGAUGUUUCUUGUCACUGGUAACAAUGGUGUCAUCCGUGUAACACUGAGUGCUUGGACAGCCAUGCGGCAGCUGGCCCAUAGCUUUCUGCCAGAGUGCAGGUUUAGAUGGUACCCUGAAAGUAUGUCUAUUAUCGCGACAAAGCUCUCUGUAAGUGUUUAUAAUGAAAAACACUUUCGACUCUUCUUUCAUCUCUAUCUAUAAAUAGGGCUCUGCUGAGUCCACUUUGCUGAAGUAUUUUCCUCCAGAAAGGUUUGCAAAGAUAUCCUUUAUCCUAGGCAGAGGGUAUUGAUCUACUUUCAGUACUGGGUUGAUGGUGACCUUAAAAUCACCACAGAUCCUGACAGAUCCAUUCUUCUUGGGUACUGGGACCACUGGCAUUGUUCAUGGUCUUCGCUCAACUGUGAAAAGAUUUCCUUCAGCCUCCAUGUGAUCUAGCUCAUAAGGUACUUACAGAUGGUAUAAGGAACUGGGAGGCCUUUGUAAAACUUAGGAGAGGCAUUUUCAUUUAACACUAUUUUUCCCUUGAUAUGUUUGAGCCCUCCAAUACCAUCCUUGAACACUGGUGUGGCAUAAUCCUGUAACUUUCUUAAUUUGCUUUCAGUUAACUCUCUCGCAGGUGGUGGAUGAAUGAUUUCAACUGCUGUUUUAAAUGUGAGUUGUGCUUCAGUUAGAAGCUGUUUUUGAAUGCUUGCUUGUAAAAUUCCACAAACUAAAUGAUCUCUCAGUGCAUCAUUAAGCCCAUCCCUGAACUGACAAUGCUCAGACAAUUUCUUCAAUUCUGCCACAUAUGCUGAAAUGGAUUCCCCUUCCUUUUGAUUCCUCUUACGAAACCCAAGGCAUUCUGCAAUCAACAAUGGCUUUGGAUCAAACUGUUCCAGCAUUUCGUGUACGAUAUCAACAAAGCUGAUUUCAUCUGGUUUGGUUGGAGCAGUUAAGUUUCUAAGCAAACUGUAUGCUUUUCCACCUAUUACACUCAGCAACACUGGGACUCGUUUUUCACCAGAUUUUUCGUUUGGUUCAAAAUACUACUCAAUACCUUCAGUAUGCAUCAUCCAGUUAUCUGUUCUGCAAUCCAACACAUCUAUCUUUCUGAUAUAGUCAGCCAUUUCUGCUUCUUAAAAUGUAUUAUUAUUAUUAUUACCCGGUACUCAGUUUUUAUUAACCUGUGGUUAUAUUCGGUGCUUUGUACAUUUUCUGCCUUUAUUUUUAACUCGAAUGUUUCUCUCUCCUCCAAAGAAAAGCAGCUGAACUUCAACAGGUAGGUAGUUGUCUUGGGUUCAAUUUUAAACUUCCUCUUCAUUACAGUUAUGUUUUGUAACUUCAGGAAAAACUCAGGAGCCUAGGAUAUUUGCUUACUUAGGUAUUUUAGUGAGGUGCUCACAUAUGAUGUGGUGGCAUAAUGAUGCAGGCCAUUUAUGUACUUCUUAAUAUAACCCAAAAUGAAUUAUGUAAACAAACAGAGAAUGCUUGAUCAAACAAUAUGUUUACAAAAUACUACUGAAAUAUUGAAUACAUUUCACCUAUGUGUGAACCUUUUGAUUGCAAGCUGUCCAUUGUGCACCGGGUAUGAAGUGGACUUCAGCAGUCUUGCUGCAAUGGCAAGGAGGUCCAUGAUGAUUAGAGUCUAUUGCACACAUAUGCACAUUCAUACUUUCAGCAUUCGUACAAUACAUCCCUCUGAACAUAGACAUCAAUGCAAACAUACGGUCUUCACCCUCUCCCUGGGCCUUUGUGCUCCUCCCUUACCCUGAUCCUCUCUAUGCAUCAAUAUUCCUUCCUCCUCUAAAUGCCUCUCACUAUGUUGUCCUUCCCUCAUGACCUCUGCAUUGUUUCCUCUUCCACUUGACCCUCUCCCACUUCACCCAAUCCUUUCCCACUUAACAGGUUAGAUUGAUUUUAGAGUAAGUGAAAAGCCCAGCACAAUAUCAUGGUACUGAAAGGCCUGUAAGGUGCUGUAAUGUUCUAUUUUAUGUUAAUCCCAUCCUUUUCCCCUUGAUUUUGCCCCAGCCCCAGUCUCUAUCACUCUCCAGCUUCUGGUGGCUCACUCUCUCCUGUCACAGAGGGAGGUUUACCACCCACUUUCACCCCCAAAACCACUGUCUUCAUUCCCCUUCAGGUUUGCCCUGGAUUUUCAGCAGUCAAAUUAUGAGAAGCCUAUGGUUUGAUCCUGGUCACUCAGACCUUUCCUAGACCGAGAACCUUCAGCAACCCACCUAUUUCUGCCUGUUAUCAAUAGAUGGCACUCUUCUGUGCUUGCUGCCAAGACUACCCUUGAGAAGAUGUUGAUGAGCAACCUUGCUGAACCACCAUGUUCAGUCUGAUGAACGUCCUUCCACUCUGCUAAAGGGGUUUGAAGGCAAUUCGAUGUGGCAGAACCAAAGCAGGGCAGGGCAGCAGGUUCAUUGCCAAGUGUGAGAAAGACCCAUGGUUUGAUCGUUUUAAGUGCCAGGCCAAAUCGGAAAGGAUGGGUCCAGGCACCAGAGUGGGUCGAGAUGGCAAAACUCGAUGAUUGGACUGAGACUCAUGUGCAAGGACAAACUGGACAGGCUGAAUCAAGGCAGCAGGGUCCAGGCACCAGAACAAAUCACGAUGACCAAACUCAAUGUUUGGACGGAGAUUGAAGUGCAGGGUCGUAUCGGUAAGAUUGGAUACAAGCCAAAUCGAGGUGGCAGGGUCCAGGCACUGAAAUGGAUUAGGGUGACUGAAUCUGAUGUUUGUACAAUGAUUUAGGAGCCUGGACAGAUUGAAAAGGUCCAGGUGUCGGGGCCCGAGGUGACGGACAGACCAAUUCAGAUUGCCGUACCAUGCUCUGUGCUGAACUAUGGGACUCUCUUUGUGGAUUUAAGUUCAGAACGCUAUUUGCUUGCUGUUACUGUUUGCAUGAUGUGUUUCCUUUUGCUCUCUCUGCAUAUUGGGUGUUCAACAGUCUUUUUUAAGAUGGGUUCUUUUUUAUGGGCAUGGUGUGCUUUUUUCUCUCUCUGCACACUAGG